rnacentral:rRNA from 1 species
GACGAACGCUGGCGGCGUGCCUAACACAUGCAAGUCGAACGGGGUGAUUCCUUCGGGAGAUCACUUAGUGGCGAACGGGUGAGUAACGCGUGAGAAACCUGCCUUUCAGUGGGGGACAACAGUUGGAAACGACUGCUAAUACCGCAUAAUGUACACGGACCGCAUGAUCUGUGUACCAAAGCUUUAUGUGCUGAAAGAUGGUCUCGCGUCUGAUUAGCUAGAUGGCGGGGUAACGGCCCACCAUGGCGACGAUCAGUAGCCGGUCUGAGAGGAUGAACGGCCACAUUGGGACUGAGAUACGGCCCAGACUCCUACGGGAGGCAGCAGUGGGGAAUAUUGGGCAAUGGGGGAAACCCUGACCCAGCAACGCCGCGUGAAGGAAGAAGGCCUUCGGGUUGUAAACUUCUUUUAGCAGGGACGAAGAACGUGACGGUACCUGCAGAAAAAGCAACGGCUAACUACGUG